ACGAUUAAGGCCAAUAUAGAGGCCAUGCGCCAUGAGAUUCAACGAGGAAGCGAUUGGUGCAAAGUCGAUGAUGAAGUUCGAGAGUGGGUACUCUGUGGAAAUCGUGUUUGAUGGAAGCAAGCUUGGAAUUGAGCCUUAUGCAGUUGAGGUGUUGCCUAAUGGGGAGCUUUUCAUUCUGGAUUCGGCUAAUAGUAACAUUUAUAGGAUUUCGUCCUUGCUUUCUUUGAGCUGAGGGUGCAACAAUGUCUGGCAUUUCACCUUGAGUUGCUAAAUGAAGCAGAAGUGGCAGCUGUUGCAGAAGAGAAAGAAACCCAUUCAUUUGAAAUUGAUCC